CUACCAGAAGCGACGUUGCAAUUGCCAAACACAGUGCGCUACACUCUAUAUGCAAUGGCGAGCAAAGUGUUGGAAUAUGUGGAGGAGGAGGAUUUUGACGUACAGGAGCACCCAACUGAACUUGGCAUCGUCAAAGCGUAUGUUUGAGCCGAUCGGACAGUGACGACGACGAGCCGCCAAGUAGCAGCUGUACAACAGAAAAAGAGAGCGGCCACUGGCUCGAUGUAACGAUUUCAACAAAAGGCAGCAGUUUUGGACAGAGGCAGUGCCUGGACCAAUUCAACUGGCUCAGAAGUGCUAAGGACGGAGGAAUUCAGUUGAGAAGGAGGAACAUUAAAUAGCGCUAAGACAACACGAGAAAAUUGACGUUAAAAGCCCUGCAACUUAUGGAGCCGCCAUGAAACAGAACAAAAGAAGAACAAGAAGAUGGCGACAACGUCAGAGAAGACAAAUGCAAGAAAAGAAGACACAACUCUGAAAGGGUGGGAUCAUUCUAGACUGUGCAAAAAGGCAAACACUGGUGACGUCUCAAGCAAGACACACAGAAUGCGGUGGAAGAGCCAAAAUGAACGUCACGCAAAUCCGUGAGUUUAACGUUAAUGCAAUUUAGCAGCAUAACAUCAGCCCUACGGAGGGCUAAGGUUUCUAUUCGGACUACCGUGAAAUUGGUGGCCAGUUUAUUGCGAUGGUGAUAAGGGUAUGUAUGUGUGCGACAAUAACUUGACUUCAUUCAGGGUGCUUGCUUGUCAAGGGACAGUUUAGCUCAGUGGUUUAAGCACUUUGAGACACAUGGCCAGUGCACUAGCAUCGCAUCUCCACGUGUUUGACACAGUUUGAGUCAAGUACUGUAAGGUGGAAAAGAAGGACUGUGA